UGGUGGAGUGAUUUGUCUGCUUAAUUGCGAUAACGAACGAGACCUUAACCUGCUAAAUAGCCAGGCUAGCUUAGGCUGGUCGCCGGCUUCUUAGAGGGACUAUCGGCUCAAGCCGAUGGAAGUUUGAGGCGAUAACA
rnacentral:rRNA from 1 species